rnacentral:pre_miRNA from 1 species
UGGACAGAUUAUUGUAUUCGACUGUAUUCACGGCGUGAAAUAGGGGAUUACACUAUUUUUAAAACGGAAAGUGAAUCAAUUAACAUAAUAGACUCUU